AGGGCACCACCAGGAGUGGAGCCUGCGGCUUAAUUUGACUCAACACGGGAAAUCUCACCAGGCCCGGACACCGGAAGGAUUGACAGAUUGAGAGCUCUUUCUUGAUUCGGUGGGUGGUGGUGCAUGGCCGUUCUUAGUUGGUGGAGCGAUUUGUCUGGUUAAUUCCGAUAACGAACGAGACUCUGGCCUACUAACUAGACGUUAGAUCCCUUUGUGGGUCUAUCGCAGCUUCUUAGAGGGACGGGCGGCGUUUAGCCGCACGAGAUUGAGCAAUAACAGGUCUGUGAUGCCCUUAGAUGUUCUGGGCUGCACGCGCGCUACACUGAAGGAAUCAGCGUGUGUUCCCUACCCGAAAGGGUUGGGAAACCCGUUGAACCUCCUUCGUGAUGGGGAUUGGGGAUUGCAAUUAUUCCCCAUGAACGAGGAAUUCCCAGUAGGCGCGAGUCAUAAGCUUGCGUCGAUUACGUCCCUGCCCUUUGUACACACCGCCCGUCGCUACUACCGAUCGAGUGAUUUAGU
rnacentral:rRNA from 1 species